GGACUCCUUGUUGCUUUUGCAUGAUCAUGAAGAUGAUUUUCCCAGGGUGAGGCUCAUCAUUACACUGUGGCUGUGCUGAUGCCUGCAAUUUCCCCAAAUGGGGAAAACUUGACUGCACAAUUUGUGAUAGUGCGGGACUAUGUUUGUGCUUUCCCCUG
ensembl:snRNA U1 U1 spliceosomal RNA